GCCGUCUUAGCUCAGUUGGUAGAGCAGCCGCCUUGUAAGCGGCAGGUCGUCGGUUCGAUUCCGACAGACGGCACCA
rnacentral:tRNA from 1 species